rnacentral:rRNA from 1 species
AGUUUGAUNAUGGCUCAGAGUGAACGCUGGCGGCAGGCCUAACACAUGCAAGUCGAACGGCAGCACAGUGGUAGCAAUACCAUGGGUGGCGAGUGGCGGACGGGUGAGGAAUACAUCGGAAUCUACCUUUUCGUGGGGGAUAACGUAGGGAAACUUACGCUAAUACCGCAUACGACCUUAGGGUGAAAGCGGAGGACCUUCGGGCUUCGCGCGGAUAGAUGAGCCGAUGUCGGAUUAGCUAGUUGGCGGGGUAAAGGCCCACCAAGGCGACGAUCCGUAGCUGGUCUGAGAGGAUGAUCAGCCACACUGGAACUGAGACACGGUCCAGACUCCUACGGGAGGCAGCAGUGGGGAAUAUUGGACAAUGGGCGCAAGCCUGAUCCAGCCAUGCCGCGUGGGUGAAGAAGGCCUUCGGGUUGUAAAGCCCUUUUGUUGGGAAAGAAAAGCAGUCGGUUAAUACCCGAUUGUUCUGACGGUACCCAAAGAAUAAGCACCGGCUAACUUCGUGCCAGCAG